rnacentral:rRNA from 1 species
UACAGAGGUGGCAAGCGUUGUUCGGAAUUACUGGGCGUAAAGGGCGAGUAGGCGGCCAUCUAAGUCAGACGUGAAAUCCCCCGGCUUAACCUGGGAACUGCGUCUGAUACUGGCGGGCUUGAAUCCGGGAGAGGGAUGCGGAAUUCCAGGUGUAGCGGUGAAAUGCGUAGAUAUCUGGAGGAACACCGGUGGCGAAGGCGGCAUCCUGGACCGGCAUUGACGCUGAGGCGCGAAAGCUAGGGGAGCAAACGGG